rnacentral:rRNA from 1 species
GUGGGGAAUAUUGGGCAAUGGGCGAAAGCCUGACCCAGCAACGCCGCGUGAAGGAAGAAGGCCUUCGGGUUGUAAACUUCUUUUAUCAGGGACGAAAAAAAUGACGGUACCUGAUGAAUAAGCCACGGCUAACUACGUGCCAGCAGCCGCGGUAAUACGUAGGUGGCAAGCGUUGUCCGGAUUUUCUGGGUGUAAAGGGCGCGUAGGCGGGAGUGCAAGUCAGAUGUGAAAUCCCCAGGCUCAACCUGGGAACUGCAUUUGAAACUGUGCUUCUUGAGUGAUGGAGAGGCAAGCGGAAUUCCGUGUGUAGCGGUGAAAUGCGUAGAUAUACGGAGGAACACCAGUGGCGAAGGCGGCUUGCUGGACAUUAACUGACGCUGAAGCGCGAAAGCGUGGGGAGCAAACAGGAUUAGAAACCCUUGUAGUCC